UUGUUUACACUCUAAAAACGGCUGGGUUAUUUUUUAACCCAAAAUGCUGGGUUGAGUCUGUUGGGUCAUUUUGUUGGGUUAUUUUAUUUCUUUUUAAACACUUUUGGGUAGUUUCAAUUUACCACGUGUUGGGUUAAACCUGCUGGGUUGCGUCGCUGGGUUGUUUCAGGCCAGCGCUGGGUUAUUUAACGCGCCUUGAAGAUGUUUAAAUCGCUCCCCAACUGUCAUUUUGGAAGAACAACGGGGCAAAGCCACGGCUUUCAACUGUUUUAAGGUAAGUUUAUUUAAUGUUUUCAUUAAUAAUUAUUUUAAAUUGGCAGAAUUAUAACUUUUUUGCGGCAACAAUACUGUUAAACGUCUACAGGCCAACAUUAUUUACGUUAAAUGAUGAACUGUUUAACGUACGUUACCUCAAACGGCCAACCUACGUUACGUGACUCGCAUGAUCGUGAGACGACAGAUUAAUAGUUUUAUUAAGUUUCAGACAGUGACGGAUGGCUGAAAUAUGCGAAUACCUGUGAAAAUAGAGGAAAAAGUCGUUUCUGACACUGAAAAGCGAAUUUAACAUUUAAGUGAGUCAAAUGAGUUCAAAAAGUGAAUACGACUUUCUGCAUAAUGUAAACGCCUGCAGUUGUCCAUAUCGACAUGUAAAUCAUUCAAAUUACGUACAAUAUAGUCGGACUGCAGGUCUAAAAGAACCGACGAUCCAGUUCAAAUAAACCGGUUCAGUAAUUCUCGAACAAAUUUCCCGGAAAAGAAUCGACGUCUCAGGGCAUUUCAAAGUGCGCGCACGCACAGCGAUUGAUUUAGAACGCGUUAGUGAGGUGUUUUGAUGCUUUUGUGGUUUAUAAAGUCUUUUUACAUACAAAUUAUAAUUCAAAAUGUGUUUUUUCCUGUCAGAAAAGCACAUGGAUACAUUUGUGAGAGAAUAACUCGUCGAGUGCAGUCUUAUUGAUGCGUCUAACGGUUGGAACAAACAUGGAAUUCCUUAACCAAGAAGAGUCCACAAAACCCCAUCCAAUUGUCAUGGCGAAUUAAAAAUGCCAGCAGAUCUCUCAGGAAUUGAUCAUAAUCAAUGGACAGGUCACCGUAGCCACCCGUAUCCAGUACCUAUCCAGACCAGAUGGUGGAUCAGCACCUAGAAAGGACCUCUACAUCCCUGAAAGACAGCGGAGACUAGGACAACUAGAGCCCCAGAUACAGAUCCCCUGUAAAGACCUGGUCUCAGAGGACCACCAGGACAAGACCACAGGAAACAGAUGAUUCUUCUGCACAAUCUGACUUUGCUGCAGCUGGAAUUGAACUACUGGUUUCGUCUGGUCAGAGGAGAACUGGCCCCCCAACUGAGCCUGGUUUCUCCCAAGGUUUUUUUCUCCAUUCUGUCACCGAUGGAGUUUUGGUUCCUUGGUUUUCCUUAGUUGGAGACAAUUAAUAUCAAGCGAUAUCAUUGACUUGAUUGCACAGAGGGACGAUACAUCACUGAAUCAAUGAUGAACUGACUUUAACUGAAAACUGAGUGUUGACUGUUGUCCCUUUGCAUUAUUACACACUAUUUUCCUAUUUAAUACUGUAAAGCUGCUAUGAUGCAGUAUUUGAUCAAUAUGAGAGGCUUAUUACUCAUAAUAAAUGGAAAAUACAGCUGCAAACGGACUUUGCUUUUCCAUUUGAAAUUUGGCAGUCACUGUGCAUUCAUGAAAACUGAAAAGGUAAUUUUUGUUCGUUGUUUCUGAAAGUGUUUUUGUUCAAGAUUUGCAAUUGUGUUUGGAUUUUGUCACAAUUUGUCACAUGUGGAAAACGCAAUUGAAAACAUAAUUUGCAAUUCCUUUUGAAAAUUGUCCUUCCGUUGACAGGCUCUAAAGCAGAGUACACUGCUCUCAGGUGUACAGUAGAUCUUUGAAUUUUCAUUUUUGGGUGAACUAUAUAUGUUGAACUACCCUAAGCAGUGUACAUCUACCUACAUAGGAGUCUUUAUAUACU